UACGUAGGGUGCAAGCGUUGUCCGGAAUUAUUGGGCGUAAAGAGCUCGUAGGCGGUCUGUCGCGUCUGCUGUGAAAAUCCAGGGCUUAACCCUGGACCUGCAUCGGGUACGGGCAGACUAGAGUACUGCAGGGGAGACUGGAAUUCCUGGUGUAGCGGUGGAAUGCGCAGAUAUCAGGAGGAACACCGGUGGCGAAGGCGGGUCUCUGGGCAGUAACUGACGCUGAGGAGCGAAAGCGUGGGGGAGCGAACAGG
rnacentral:rRNA from 1 species